GCUUCGACGGGUAGCCGGCCUGAGAGGGCGACCGGCCACACUGGGACUGAGACACGGCCCAGACUCCUACGGGAGGCAGCAGUGGGGAAUAUUGCGCAAUGGGCGGAAGCCUGACGCAGCGACGCCGCGUGAGGGAUGACGGCCUUCGGGUUGUAAACCUCUUUCAGCAGGGACGAAUGUAGACGGUACCUGUAGAAGAAGCACCGGCCAACUACGUGCCAGCAGCCGCGGUAAUACGUAGGGUGCGAGCGUUGUCCGGAAUUAUUGGGCGUAAAGAGCUCGUAGGCGGUCUGUCGCGUCGAAUGUGAAAACCCGGGGCUCAACUCCGGGCUUGCAUUCGAUACGGGCAGGCUAGAGUUCGGUAGGGGAGUCUGGAAUUCCUGGUGUAGCGGUGAAAUGCGCAGAUAUCAGGAGGAACACCGGUGGCGAAGGCGGGACUCUGGGCCGAUACUGACGCUGAGGAGCGAAAGCGUGGGGAGCGAACAGGAUUAGAUACCCUGGUAGUCCACGCCGUAAACGUUGGGCGCUAGGUGUGGGGGUCCUUCCACGAUCUCCGUGCCGCAGCUAACGCAUUAAGCGCCCCGCC
rnacentral:rRNA from 1 species